rnacentral:rRNA from 1 species
UGAGCUUGAUCCUGGCUCAGAUUGAACGCUGGCGGCAGGCCUAACACAUGCAAGUCGAGCGGUAGAGAGAAGCUUGCUUCUCUUGAGAGCGGCGGACGGGUGAGUAAUGCCUAGGAAUCUGCCUGGUAGUGGGGGAUAACGUUCGGAAACGGACGCUAAUACCGCAUACGUCCUACGGGAGAAAGCAGGGGACCUUCGGGCCUUGCGCUAUCAGAUGAGCCUAGGUCGGAUUAGCUAGUUGGUGGGGUAAUGGCUCACCAAGGCGACGAUCCGUAACUGGUCUGAGAGGAUGAUCAGUCACACUGGAACUGAGACACGGUCCAGACUCCUACGGGAGGCAGCAGUGGGGAAUAUUGGACAAUGGGCGAAAGCCUGAUCCAGCCAUGCCGCGUGUGUGAAGAAGGUCUUCGGAUUGUAAAGCACUUUAAGUUGGGAGGAAGGGCUGUAGAUUAAUACUCUGCAAUUUGACGUACCGACAG